rnacentral:rRNA from 1 species
GCUUGCUCUGGUUGAUCAGUGGCGAACGGGUGAGUAACACGUGAGUAACCUGCCCUUGACUCUGGGAUAACUCCGGGAAACCGGGGCUAAUACCGGAUACGAGACGCGACCGCAUGGUCGGCGUCUGGAAAGUUUUUCGGUCAAGGAUGGACUCGCGGCCUAUCAGCUUGUUGGUGAGGUAAUGGCUCACCAAGGCGUCGACGGGUAGCCGGCCUGAGAGGGCGACCGGCCACACUGGGACUGAGACACGGCCCAGACUCCUACGGGAGGCAGCAGUGGGGAAUAUUGCACAAUGGGCGAAAGCCUGAUGCAGCGACGCCGCGUGAGGGAUGAAGGCCUUCGGGUUGUAAACCUCUUUCAGUAGGGAAGAAGCGAAAGUGACGGUACCUGCAGAAGAAGCGCCGGCUAACUACGUGCCAGCAGCCGCGGUAAUACGUAGGGCGCAAGCGUUGUCCGGAAUUAUUGGGCGUAAAGAGCUCGUAGGCGGUUUGUCGCGUCUGGUGUGAAAACUCAAGGCUCAACCUUGAGCUUGCAUCGGGUACGGGCAGACUAGAGUGUGGUAGGGGUGACUGGAAUUCCUGGUGUAGCGGUGGAAUGCGCAGAUAUCAGGAGGAACACCGAUGGCGAAGGCAGGUCACUGGGCCACUACUGACGCUGAGGAGCGAAAGCAUGGGGAGCGAACAGGAUUAGAUACCCUGGUAGUCCAUGCCGUAAACGUUGGGCACUAGGUGUGGGGCUCAUUCCACGAGUUCCGCGCCGCAGCUAACGCA